rnacentral:rRNA from 1 species
UGGUGACAUGUUAGGACUCUAAUGAGUUUAAGACUUAAUGAGCCUCUUAAGUGAGGCCGCCAGCAACCUUUUUUUUCUCUACAUUUUAAAAAAAAAAACUAAAAUUCUACCCUUAUCGGUGGAUCACUAGGCUCGUGGAUCGAUGAAGAACGCAGCAAACUGCGAUAAUUAUUGCGAACUGCAGAAGUAUUGAGCACAAAAGUUUUGAACGCAAAUGGCCGCAUUGAGGUCAAACUCUUUGCAACGUCUGGUUCAGGGUCAUU